UACGGAGGGUGCAAGCGUUAUCCGGAUUCACUGGGUUUAAAGGGUGCGUAGGUGGGCAGGUAAGUCAGUGGUGAAAUCUCCGGGCUUAACCCGGAAACUGCCAUUGAUACUAUCUGUCUUGAAUACCGUGGAGGUGAGCGGAAUAUGGUCAUGUAGCGGUGAAAUGCUUAGAUAUGACAUAGAACACCAAUUGCGAAGGCAGCUCACUACACGAAUAUUGACACUGAGGCACGAAAGCGUGGGGAGCAAACAGGA
rnacentral:rRNA from 1 species